rnacentral:rRNA from 1 species
CACGUAGGGGGCAAGCGUUGUCCGGAUUUAUUGGGCGUAAAGAGCUCGUAGGUGGCUGAGUAAGUCGGGUGUCAAAGCCCCAGGCUCAACCUGGGUUCCCACUCGAUACUGCUCUGGCUAGAGUCCGGUAGGGGAGCGUGGAAUUCCUGGUGUAGCGGUGAAAUGCGCAGAUAUCAGGAGGAACACCAGCGGCGAAGGCGGCGCUCUGGGCCGGUACUGACACUGAGGAGCGAAAGCGUGGGGAGCAAACAGG